rnacentral:rRNA from 1 species
CAGUCGCCGCGGUAAGACGAACCGUGCGAACGUUAUUCGGAAUCACUGGGCUUAAAGCGCGUGUAGGCGGAUGGGAGCGUCGGCCUCUGAAAUCCCCCGGCUCAACCGGGGAAGUGGAGCCGAAACGACCCGUCUGGAGGGACGUAGGGGGACCUGGAACUUCCGGUGGAGCGGUGAAAUGCGUUGAGAUCGGAAGGAACGCCCGUGGCGAAAGCGAGGUCCUGGACGUCUGCUGACGCUGAGACGCGAAAGCCAGGGGAGCGAACGGGAUUAGAUACCCCCGUAGUCCCUGUCUCUUAUA